CACAAUCCCUCCUCUCUGUCCUGGAGAUAACUGUGAAGUAAUCAAAUUAUCUCCAAGGACAGAGGCAAAACUCUAUUAACCACAUGGCAGACAAAGGACAAUAAAAGACAUAAAAUUACAUACAGUUACAUUUAUUCCAUAAAACAUAGACAUUCUACAUAUCCCCAGAUAGCUUAGAUCUGAGUGCACAUUACUACCGAAUGGCGCUCAGAUCACAUACAUACAGUUCAAUUGCCAUGGAGCCAAAAUCUUUCAGUCUUUCAGUAUACGACUGGGCUCCAUGGCAUAGCUAUCUGGGGUAGCAUGGCUUUAACAGUCCGCAGAAAGGCACGAAUAAACCUUUCUGCCGGUAAAAUAAAAGUUUAAAAUGCAGGACCAUAGUUCUAAAGGGAGCAGGCGAGCAGCCAGGCUUCUCCAGUGUACAGUGGCGAGGUUGGUUUCGCCACAGUCAUUUCAAAGGAAAAUACCCAGAUUGAGAGCUUGAGGGCACGGGUGUACUGCUGAACUCUGGGAAAGGUGAUCCCACUUCUUGGGGACUAUCCAUAGAUCUUCCUGGCUGACCUGUAAUAGCAUGGUUUCGUCAGCCAUGUCAUUCAUUAUUGAACAAAGCAUUGUAUACAAACAUGACUGUUGCUUCUAAACUUUGAAGUUAAAGGAAACGUGAUUAACCAUUUGAGACAUGAAAUUGUUAUAUUCGUUAUUAUUACUUUUGUUAUCUCUACUGCCUUCCCCUUACCUGGCCGCUGUGUGUUUACAGAUCACAGCACAGGUCGACUUUCACAGCAUCUUUCACUUGCUGGUAAAGCAAAGUAGUUCUGACUGUCACAUGCUCAGCAGAGUGCAAUAAUAGCUUUAUUAGAGAGAAUGGG